AUGCAUAAAGUCCCCAGCACUGAACCUAAAGCAGACAUGGAAGUUGUGGUCAGCUGCUCUGCCACAGGUAAACCAGCACCUUGGAUCCAAUGGAACCUAUCUGCAGCAGCACUCAUAAAGACACCUAACAACUGGACUGUCAUUAACAAAGACCAAACUGUCACAGCCAAUAGCAACAUCACCCUCCAACUGUUGCCAGGCUCCGGGGGAUACGUGGACUGUAUCGUAAACAAUGGGAUGAGGACACAGAGACACGAGCGGGUCCUGCUUCCUAUUCUCCCUGGAGAGAGGGAGGUUGAAGAGGAUGACAAGAGGACAUCCCCGUGGGCGGUUGGCAUUCCAGUGUUCCUAAUCGUCUCCAUUUUAGUCAUCUGCGGCAGUGUCAUGCUUCAAAAGAGAAAAGGUUACAGGCAAGCAGCAACCACAGCAGACGAGCAGGACGCUUUUGGGGAAAGUGUGUAAAUGUUUGUAAAUGUUUGUCUGUGUUGAUUGCUAUACUUGUGUACAUUAGCUGACAGAGGUUUUUAUUGAGCAUCAGAGCGCUGUUGGUAUUUAGAGUUCGGUUGCAGAAGAGCCCAGUUCCUCAAGAGAUGAGAUCCACUAACAUGUCUCAACCAGACUACUAAUCCAUCUGUAGAAUAUUACAGUAUAUUCUAAUUGUAUGACAAAGAUCAUAUUAAAUGCAUGGCGACUAGCAAGAUAGAUGAAUGAGGAUGAGACUGUGUGGGAGUCUUGGGAGCAUGAACAGUGUGCAGGCCUUCCUGUUCUUUAUUAGUAUUCUUUAUUAGCCCAGCUCCUACGUUUAGAAGGAUGUGGUUAUGACAAACAUUUCUAAUGAGACAGGUAGAUGCAAUGUGUACUAGAUAUAUUGAACCUUUUUGAGUUGACAGUCACAUUUCUUCCCCAGUCAUAUGUAAGCUAAUUUAUACCUGCCCCAUACAUUGUCACUAAUUGUCACGUAAUGUCACUAAUACUGUUUUUAUUUUAUUUUGAAAUUGCACUUUAGUUUUGAGAGAUGAGGUUUGUCAGUGAGGAAAUCUAAUAGAUUAUAUUGUAACACAGCACCACCUACAGUUGACUUUAUGACACACCAGGAAGAAGACGGGAGAAUAUAUUUGUAUUUAAUUUUACUUUAAUCCAUUUAAAUAUGGUAGCACUUGUGUCAAUGUGAGGUUUAUGCUGUUAUUAUUACAUACAGUACCUAUAGUAAUACAGAUACAGGGAUGUUUUACCUCCUUUAUAUCAAUGCAAUGUAUGAAUGUAUUUGAGCCCUGAACAUAUAAUGAUGAUAACAAUGUUUUGCACUUUGAUAGUUUGAUAUACUGUACCUUGUUCACUAGAUUGAAUUAUAUCAAGUUUUAGUUCCUGUUUGUAUUUAUUCUGAUCAUGGAUGUUGCUUGUUGUGUUUGACCCCACUUGAUGUGACAGUUUAUAAAUCAGGCUAUUAUUCCCGCUUGAUCUGUACAAUGUUUUAGAUUGUUUAAGAUUCAAAAGCAUUCUUUAAAUGUAUUGUGUUCUCCCCGUUUGAUAUAAAACUAUAUUCUGUACUUAAAAAAUCACCCAUCGUCACCUUGUUUUAUAGUAACAUUUAAAAUCAGG
ensembl:lncRNA